rnacentral:rRNA from 1 species
UACGGGGGGGGCAAGCGUUGUUCGGAAUUACUGGGCGUAAAGGCUCGUAGGCGGCCAACUAAGUCAGACGUGAAAUCCCUCGGCUUAACCGGGGAACUGCAUCUGAUACUGGAUGGCUUGAGUUCGGGAGAGGGAUGCGGAAUUCCAGGUGUAGCGGUGAAAUGCGUAGAUAUCUGGAGGAACACCGGUGGCGAAGGCGGCAUCCUGGACCGGCACUGACGCUGAGGAGCGAAAGCCAGGGGAGCAAACGGG